AGUGAACGCUGGCGGUAGGCCUAACACAUGCAAGUCGAACGGCAGCACAGUAAGAGCUUGCUCUUACGGUUGGCGAGGGGCGGACGGGUGAGGAAUACAUCGGAAUCUACUUUUUCGUGGGGGAUACGUAGGGAAACUUACGCUAAUACCGCAUACGACCUACGGGUGAAAGCAGGGGAUCUUCGGACCUUGCGCGAUUGAAUGAGCCGAUGUCGGAUUAGCUAGUUGGCGGGGUAAAGGCCCACCAAGGCGACGAUCCGUAGCUGGUCUGAGAGGAUGAUCAGCCACACUGGAACUGAGACACGGUCCAGACUCCUACGGGAGGCAGCAGUGGGGAAUAUUGGACAAUGGGCGCAAGCCUGAUCCAGCCAUACCGCGUGGGUGAAGAAGGCCUUCGGGUUGUAAAGCCCUUUUGUUGGGAAAGAAAAGCAGCAGGUUAAUACCCCGCUGUUCUGACGGUACCCAAAGAAUAAGCACCGGCUAACUUCGUG
rnacentral:rRNA from 1 species